rfam:Triticum urartu cultivar G1812 contig651509, whole genome shotgun sequence.
CACCUACUCCCUCCGUCCCAAAAUUCUUGUCUUAGAUUUGUCUAAAUAUGGAUGUAUUAAAUCAUGUUUUAGUAUUAGAUACAUUUAUAUCUAGACUAAUCGAAGACAAGAAUUUUGGGACGGAGGGAGUAGCUU